GAUGAACGCUGGCGGCGUGCCUAAUACAUGCAAGUCGAGCGAACGGACGAGAAGCUUGCUUCUCUGAUGUUAGCGGCGGACGGGUGAGUAACACGUGGAUAACCUACCUAUAAGACUGGGAUAACUUCGGGAAACCGGCGCUAAUACCGGAUGAUAUUUUGAACCGCAUGGUUCAAAAGUGAAAGACGGUCUUGCUGUCACUUAUAGAUGGAUCCGCGCUGCAUUAGCUAGUUGGUAAGGUAACGGCUUACCAAGGCAACGAUGCAUAGCCGACCUGAGGGGGUGAUCGGCCACAUUGGAACGGAGACACGGUCAAGACGCCUACGGGAGGCAGCAGUAGGGAACCGUCCGCAAUGGGCGAAAGUCUGACGGAGCAAGGCCGCGCGAGUGAUGAAGGUCUUCGGAUCGUAAAACUCUGUUAUUAGGGAAGAACAUAUGUGUACGUAACUGUGCACAGCUUGACGGUAACUAAUCAGAAAGCCACGGCUAACUACGUG
rnacentral:rRNA from 1 species